rnacentral:rRNA from 1 species
CCUACGGGAGGCAGCAGUGAGGAAUAUUGGUCAAUGGACGCAAGUCUGAACCAGCCAUGCCGCGUGCAGGAAGACGGCUCUAUGAGUUGUAAACUGCUUUUGUACGAGGGUAAACGCAGAUACGCGUAUCUGUCUGAAAGUAUCGUACGAAUAAGGAUCGGCUAACUCCGUGCCAGCAGCCGCGGUAAUACGGAGGAUUCAAGCGUUAUCCGGAUUUAUUGGGUUUAAAGGGUGCGUAGGCGGUCGGAUAAGUUAGAGGUGAAAUCCCGAGGCUCAACUUCGGAAUUGCCUUUGAUACUGUUCGGCUAGAGAUUAAUAGCGGUAUGCGGAAUGUAUGGUGUAGCGGUGAAAUGCUUAGAGAUCAUACAGAACACCGAUUGCGAAGGCAGCUUACCGGGCUACUUCUGACGUUGAGGCACGAAAGCGUGGGGAGUAAACAGGAUUAGAUACCCCGGUAGUC